rnacentral:rRNA from 1 species
ACUCCUACGGGAAGCAGCAGUAGGGAAUCUUCCACAAUGGGCGCAAGCCUGAUGGAGCAACACCGCGUGAGUGAAGAAGGGUUUCGGCUCGUAAAGCUCUGUUGUUAAAGAAGAACACGUAUGAGAGUAACUGUUCAUACGUUGACGGUAUUUAACCAGAAAGUCACGGCUAACUACGUGCCAGCAGCCGCGGUAAUACGUAGGUGGCAAGCGUUAUCCGGAUUUAUUGGGCGUAAAGAGAGUGCAGGCGGUUUUCUAAGUCUGAUGUGAAAGCCUUCGGCUUAACCGGAGAAGUGCAUCGGAAACUGGAUAACUUGAGUGCAGAAGAGGGUAGUGGAACUCCAUGUGUAGCGGUGGAAUGCGUAGAUAUAUGGAAGAACACCAGUGGCGAAGGCGGCUACCUGGUCUGCAACUGACGCUGAGACUCGAAAGCAUGGGUAGCGAACAGGAUUAGAUACCCUGGUAGGAUAGCG